GACGAACGCUGGCGGCGUGCUUAACACAUGCAAGUCGAACGGAAAGGCCCUGCUUUUGUGGGGUGCUCGAGUGGCGAACGGGUGAGUAACACGUGAGUAACCUGCCCUUGACUCUGGGAUAACUUCAGGAAACUGGGGCUAAUAACGGAUAGGAGCUCCUGCUGCAUGGUGGGGGUUGGAAAGUUUCGGCGGUUGGGGAUGGACUCGCGGCUUAUCAGCUUGUUGGUGGGGUAGUGGCUUACCAAGGCUUUGACGGGUAGCCGGCCUGAGAGGGUGACCGGCCACAGUGGGACUGAGAUCCGGCCCAGACUCCUACGGGAGGCAUCAGUGGGGAAUAUUGCACAAUGGGCUGAAGCCUGAUGCAGCAACGCCGCGUGCGGGAUGACGGCCUUCGGGUUGUAAACCGCUUUCGCCUGUGACGAAGCGUGAGUGACGGUAAUGGGUAAAGAAGCACCGGCUAACUACGUG
rnacentral:rRNA from 1 species